rnacentral:rRNA from 1 species
GACGAACGCUGGCGGCGUGCUUAACACAUGCAAGUCGAACGGAAAGGCCCUGCUUUUGUGGGGUGCUCGAGUGGCGAAGGGGUGAGUAACACGUGAGUAACCUGCCCUUGACUUUGGGAUAACUUCAGGAAACUGGGGCUAAUACCGGAUAGGAGCUCCUGCUGCAUGGUGGUGGUUGGAAAGUUUCGGCGGUUGGGGAUGGACUCGCGGCUUAUCAGCUGGUUGGUGGGGUAGUGGCUUACCAAGGCUUUGACGGGUAGCCGGCCUGAGAGGGUGAACGGCCACAAUGGGACUGAGAUACGGCCCAGACUCCUACGGGAGGCAGCAGGGGGGAAUAUUGCACAAUGGGCGGAAGCCAGAGGCAGCAACGCCGCGUGCGGGAUGACGGCUUUCGGGUGGUAAACCGAUUUCGACGGUGACGAAGCGUGAGUGACGGUAAUGGGUGAAGAAGCACCGGCUAACUACGUG